ACGGGGAGAGGGGCCCCUUUGGCAUCGACUCCACGUUCUAUGCAGUUGACUCUUCACUGAUGGCCUGUGCUCUGCUGGAGAGUGUCUGUGCUGUAAUCACGGUGAACCUGAAGACCAGGAGAAGAGACCAGGCUACCCUGAAGGCCCGAAGGACUGCAACCAAGAUGCAGGGGCAGCAGAACAGCAGAGGGGAAGAGGAGAGUGAAGAAGAGAGGGAAGAGACAGGACAGUGAAGCGUAAAAGGACGAUCGUUACAGAACUACCCACCACAACUGGAUCAAGCAGCGUGCUUGGGAGGAGAUGGACACCUGGUCUCAUGAGGAGUGGAUUGGGAGGAGAGACUGGACUUGGGGCCAGGUGAUCGACAGAUAUCGGAGCCUACCCGGGAAGAACGAGAGGCAGCCCCCCCCAAAAAAUUGGGGGGGCACACGGGUAGUUUAGCUGGACCAAGGGUGAGGCCUGAGUCAACUACCUGUGCUUUUUGUGGUAAGCAUGUGCCUGCCUCUCGCACUCUCUCUCCAGUGCGCCUGCCCAGCCCAGUACGUCCUGUUCCUGCUCCUCGCACUAGCCUUGUAGUGUGCACUCCCCGUCCUGAGCCUCCGGCGACAGUUCCCCGUCCAGGGCUUCCGGCGACAGUUCCCCGUCCAGAGCUUCCGGCGACAGUUCCCCGUCCAGAGCUUCUGGCGACAGUUCCCCGUCCAGAGCUUCCGGCGACGUUUUACAGUCCGGAGCCUGCAGAGACGGCCUACAGUCCGGAGCCUGCAGAGACGGCCUACAGUCCGGAGCCUGCAGAGACGGCCUACAGUCCGGAGCCUGCAGAGACGGCCUACAGUCCGGAGCCUGCAGAGACGGCCUACAGUCCGGAGCCUGCAGAGACGGCCUACAGAGACGGCCUGUCCGGCGCUGCCAGAGUCGCCCUCCAGUCUGGGGCCCGCGGCGAGGGACCCCGCUCUAGAGGCGCCACCAAAGUGGGGUGAGCCAGUGGUGGAGCGGGGUCUGCGUCCCGCUCCAGAGCCGCCACCGCGGAGAAAUGCCCACCCAGACCCUCCCCUAUAGAUUCAGGUUUUGCGGCCGGAGUCUGCACCUUUGGG
rnacentral:lncRNA from 1 species